UACGUAGGGGCAAGCGUUGUCCGGAAUCAUUGGGCGUAAAGCGCGCGUAGGCGGCCCGGUAAGUCCGUUGUGAAAGUCAAAGGCUACAACCCUUUGAACGCCCGAUGGAUACUGCCGGGCUAGAGUCCGGAAGAGGCGAGUGGAAUUCCUGGUGUAGCGGUGGAAUGCGCAGAUAUCAGGAGGAACACCAAUAGCGAAGGCAGCUCGCUGGGACGGUACUGACGCUGAGGCGCGAAAGCGUGGGGAGCGAACAGGA
rnacentral:rRNA from 1 species